rnacentral:rRNA from 1 species
AUCAUUGGGCGUAAAGCGCCUGUAGGUUGUUUAAUAAGUCUGUUGUUAAAGACUAGGGCUUAACCCUAGAAAAGCAAUGGAAACUACUAGACUAGAGUAUGGCAGGGGUAGAGGGAAUUUCUAGUGUAGCGGUGAAAUGCGUAGAUAUUAGAAAGAACACCGGUGGCGAAAGCGCUCUACUGGACCAUUACUGACACUCAGAGGCGAAAGCUAGGGUAGCAAAAGGGAUUAGAUACCCCUGUAGUCCUAGCCGUAAACGAUGGAUACUAGAUGUUGUGCUUCCUGUACAGUAUCGUAGCUAACGCGUUAAGUAUCCCGCCUGGGGAGUACGCUCGCAAGGGUGAAACUCAAAGGAAUUGACGGGGGCCCGCACAAGCGGUGGAGCAUGUGGUUUAAUUCGAUGCAACGCGAAGAACCUUACCAGGACUUGACAUACUACGAAUUCUUUUGAGAAAAAGAAGUGCCUUCGGGAAUGUAGAUACAGGUGGUGCAUGGCUGUCGUCAGCUCGUGUCGUGAGAUGUUGGGUUAAGUCCCGCAACGAGCGCAACCCUUAUUUUUAGUUACUAAUUCGUUAGGUUCUCUAGAAAGACUGCCGGUGACAAACCGGAGGAAGGUGAGGAUGACGUCAAGUCAGCAUGCCCCUUAUGUCCUGGGCUACACACGUGCUACAAUGGUUAAGACAAAGAGUCGCGAGCUCGCGAGAGUCAGCUAAUCUCAUAAACUUAGCCUAAGUUCAGAUUGUAGGCUGCAACU